rnacentral:lncRNA from 1 species
UAUAAAUAAGUAUGUAAAUCACCUAUAAGAGAGAAAUACAAAUAUAUACUCAGAAAUUCUCCAAAUUUAUCAUGGUAUUAGAGCUUUGAUCUUGAUUUGAUACUCAAUUUCUGCCAAUUUUGGCAAUUUCUCCUAAAAACCCUAACUCACCCAUUUUGGUACUCUCCACCCUAGACCCUUCUUCCACCCUCACUGCCACCCUUAGAGCCAUUGGAACCUCCUCGCCGGCCGAUCUGUCCACUCCGGCAACUCAGAUCCCGGCGCGUGGCGGCCCUUUCCAGUGUCGUUUCACUUUCUGAUCGACAGUGUCCCCUCAGAUUUCCGGCACCCUUCUGCAGUAUUUGGCUUCAUUUGGUGUGGGUAAGGUGUCUCCUUGGUGUUUAUAGUAAUUUCUUUUUUCAUACCCUUUCUUUCCUAUUUUCCAUGGCAAUAGAAAAGAAAGCCCAUGUUCCAAGUAAUGAUAACCUUUCCUUGUAAGUUAGUCCCGUAAAACUAGAUGGAAAUAAUUAUCUUACUUGGUCAAAGUCUUAUUUGUUGUUUAUCAAGGCUAGAGGACUGCAAGGUUAUAUCACGGGUAAGAACAAGAAAUCGGAUGAGAGUGAUCCGGAAUUUCCUAAAUGGGACUCAAAUAAUUGUCUUGUUAUGACACAGUCGCUUAACUCUAUGCAACCCCAUAUCUCUAAGUCUUAUUUGUUGCUUGAUACUGCUGUAAAGAUAUAGAAAGCAUUGUCUUUGACUUAUUCCAAGAUUGGAAUGAUGCCCAAAUUUAUGAUAUUCGGAACAAGAUCCAUGGCACUAAGGAAAAAAUGACUGCCUCUCAGUUUUAUUCUGAGCUAUGUAGCUUAUGGCAGAAGUGUGACUACUAUCAGCAUUUUCAGGCAGACUAUACAGGAGAUGCAGUCAAAUUGCGAAAAAUGAUUGAAAAGAAGCGAGUUUACGAUUUUUUUGCAGGCUUGAACACUGAAUAUAAUCCAAUUUGGGUCUAAGUUUUGGGUAAAUACCCUUUUCCUUCACUAGAAGAGGCACCUGUCCAUGUUCAACAAGAGGAAAGUCGCCGCCAUACUAUACUCUAUACUACAACAGUUGAAAAGGCUAGAUUGGCUACUAAUUUGAGCACACCGCAACCUCCUAAUUCUAAGCAAGAUCACUUACAUUGUGACUAUUGUAGGAAACCGAGACAUACUAGGGAGACUUGCUAGAAGUUACAUGAUUGUUCCACUAAAGAUCGUGGGGGGAAACAAAAUACCUCCAAAACUCAAGCUAAUUUAUUAGAAACUGUGGAAGAGCCCUCUAAAGAGACAAUUGCUAUUGAGUUCCUUGGCUUUAAUGCAAGUCAAAGUCUCAAGUGCUUCCUAUCUCCUAUUGACACUUCGUCCUUCUUUGAUGCCACAUCUAAUUUUGUAAAGUCAAGUAAUGCUUCCUCUCUUGAUACUAUCCUAUAGACUAUUGAUUCUGAUGUGAAUAGACAUAUGACAGGCUCUUCUAAAGAAUUUCUCAAUUAUUUUCCUUCUCUAACUAAAGAGAGUGUCAAAACUGCUAAUGACUCUUUUACUCCUAUAUCCGAAACAAGUUCUGUUUCUGUUAUCUGUGCACCCAAUUUUAAAUUAUGAUUUGUCUUUCAUGUUUUUUAUUUUCCUUUUAACCUUUUAUCUGUCAGUGCUAUCACCAAUGAUUUUAACUGUAAAGUUGAAUUCUUUCCUGAUUAUUAUGUCAUCCAGGACCUUCACACAGGAAAGAGGAUUGGCAAUGAUAGAUUAUAUGAUAGCUUAUACAUAUUGGAAGGUGAUCCAAGUUCUACAGUAUCACAUGACUGCUUUGGAGAAAAUAAGGAUGUCAAUCAGGAACUAUUUCAGUGGCACAGGCAAUUAGUGCAUCCAUCCUUUUUGUCUUAGAAAAACUUUAUCCUAAUUUAUUUGCUAGGACUCAGUUUGACUCUUUAUUUUGUGAUAAUUGUGAGUACGGUAUGCUAAGCACACUAGAACCUCCUAUCCAUUGAGUCAUAAUAAAAGACAAAUUCCUUUUGUGGCUAUUCGUUCUGAUGUAUGGCGCCUACUCAAUUUGUUUCCUUAUCUGGUAAUCGAUGGUUUCCCACUUUUAUUAAUUGUUACACUCGAAUGACUUGGGUAUAUUUGAUUAAAGCUAAAAGUAAUGCAUUUUCUUGUUUUCAAUCUUUUCACAAGAUGAUUUAUACUCAAUUUGAUAAUAAGAUGAAAAUUUUGAGAAUUGACAAUGAAAGAGAAUAUAUAGAUAGCAUGUUUUCUGCUUAUUUGGAGUCCAAUGGGAUAGUAUAUCAGACAAGUUAUCUCUAUACUAGUGCACAAAAUGGGUUGUUGCUGAAAGGCAAAACCAGCAUUUAUUUAAGGUAGCUCGAUCUCUUUUGAUCACCAUGAACCUACCUAAAGCAUAUUGGGGAAAUAUAAUCCUUGUAUCUGUUUAUCUUAUCAAUCAAAUGCCCCUCAAGGCCUUCGACUUUAUGAGUCUAUUGGAGGUCCUACAAGGAAAGAAUUCAUAAAUUGUUCCACCAAAAUUAUUUAAGUGUGUUUACUUUGUCUAUACUAAGACAGCGGAAAAGUUGGACUCAAAGGCCCUUAAAUGUGUGUUUGUUAGAUAUUCUCUGACAUAAAAUGAUACAAGUGUUAUCACCCUCCAUCCAGAAAAUAUUUUGUCUGUAUGGAUGUUACCUUCAAAAAAAUUGAACUCUAUUUCAAUACCACCAAUUCACCUCUUUAGGGGAGGAUAAUGAGAAAGAAAAAGUGAUAUCUAAUUCUGUGAUUCUGAAUGAUCUGGUUCAAACUUCAAAGGGAGAGUUCUAGUAGUAAACAGGGGGAGAUGUCGGAUCAGAAGGAGAAAAUUGAACGUUUGGAUAAGAUAGAUUUGAGGAGGUAUUCGAUACGAGACAAGGUAGAAGAAGCCAUUAUGUAGCCUACUCAGGAUCAAGAAUCUUCAUCCUUUUCUUCUGAUGAGUUAUCCUCAACUCUUGAAUGCUCCAAUGAUUUAAAUAAACCCAUUGCACAAAGAAAAGAUGUCAAAUCUUGUACCAAACACCCUAUUUCUAACUUUGUUUCUUAUGAAUGCUUGUCUUCCUCCUAUAGAGCCUUUAUCUUGUCUAUUCCAUAGGAUUGUAAAGAAACUCUCAGAAAUCCUAAAUGGAAGGGAGCAAUGAUUAAAGAGAUGAAAGCACCGAUAAAAAAUGUAACAUGGGAGCUUGUCUCUCUCCCACCUAGGAAAAAACUAGUUGAUUGAAAGUGAGUAUUCACAGUGAAACACAAAGCUGAUAGCACAAUUGAAUAGUUUAAGACCAAAUUAGUUGCUUAAAGUUUCACCCAAACCUAUGGAGUGCAUUAUCAAGAGACAUUUGCCCCAGUUGUAAAAAUAACUCAAUCAGAGUCUUGUUAUCUUGUGCAGCCAACUUGGACUGAGAUUUACAAUAAUUUGAUGUGAACAACGCAUUCCUUUAUGGAGAUUUAGAGAAAGAGAUGUUCAUAGAUAUCUCUUUUGACUUUUCUGAUAAGAAGGCAUAAGGAAAAGUGUGCAAAUUAAAAAAGAUUUUGUAUGGGCUAAAGCAAUCUCCUAGAGCCUAGUUUGCUAAGUUUAGCAGAACCAUGAGGUCUUUUAAUUACCAUCAGAGCAAUAUUGAUCAUACUCUAUUUAUUAAACAUCAUAAGAGUAAGAUUAUAGUCUUAUAGUGUAUGUUGAUGAUAUAAUGGUGACAUGUGAUGACAAAAAGAAAAUGGCUCAACCAAAAAGGUUGUUGUCACAAGAAUUUGAAAUCAAAGAUCUAAAGAAGCUUUAAUAUUUUCCAGGUAUUGAGGUGACCAAAUCCAAAAAAGAGAUCUUUUAUCUCUCAAAGAAAGUACAUUUUGGAUCUUUUAGAAAAAACUGGUAUGUUGGGGUGUAAACCAGUAGAAUCUCCCGUUACAAAUAAUUAUAAGAUGCAAGCACGAACUGAUGAGUCGAUGGAUAUUAGAAAAUACUAGAUAUUGAUAGGGAGGUUGAUUUAUCUCUCACACACUCGACCAAACAUAGCCUAUGUUAUUAGCUUAAUCAACCAAUACAUGCAUGACCCUCGCGAGACUUAUGUGAAGGUUGUCUUUCGCAUCUUGAGAUAUCUAAAGUCUGUACCAUGGAAAGAGCUUCUUUACUCCAAAUGGUCAUCUCCGAUUUGAAUUUUUAAAGAUGCGCAUUGGCAAGAUCUCUCGAUGAUAAGAGAUCAACCUCCGGCUAUUGCACAAUUGUGCGAGGGAACCUUCUCACUUGGAGAAGAAAAAAAUAAAGUGUUAUUGCUCGAUCAAGCGUUGAAGUAAAAUACAGAGCAAUAGCCCAAAGAGUGUUUGAACUUUUGUGGUUGGAGAAGUUAUUGGAGAAGCUGAGAUUGCCCAAAAGGGACAAGCUAACUUUAUAUUGGGACAACAAAGCCGCUAUUAAUAUAGCACAAAAUCUAGUCCAACAUGACUGAACGAAGCAUAUUGAGAUUGAUCAGUAUUUCAUUAAAGAAUAAUUAGCAAAUGGUGUCUUGAGCUUAGUUCAUGUGACUUCAAACGGACAACUUGCGGAUGUGUUUACUAAAGAGCUUAACAAUAGGACCUAUUACAAUAUGAUUUGCAAGUCGGGCAUGUGCGACAUUUAUGGACCAAUUUAAGGGGGAGUGUUGACUUAUGUGUUGAUUUCUAGUGACUGGAUUUGCUACUGAUUCUAGGCACAAAUUAGAAUUCUUAAUUAUCUUUGUAAUUAUUUGUUUAUUUGUUUCCCUUUUAAUUGUAAUCCUUUGUGUAUGUGCAUAAAUAGACAUGUAAAUCACAUGUAAAUCACUUGUAAAGAUUAAGAGAAAAAUACAAAUACAUACUCAUAAAUUCUCCAAAUUCAUCAGAGAAAAAUAAAGAAAUGAAACAUUCAACUCAAAUUAUAUUUUGUUCCUAAAUUUCAACCCUCGAAUGUGACAAAUCAGGCAGUUAUCAAUGUGAUGUAUUUAUGUCCCUGUUUAAGUACAAGUACAAUGACCAGGAUACCCUUAAUGUAUGAGGUAGAUAAGAGGUAUAACUUUAUUAUCUUUAGUCACCAAACUAUUGUUCAAAAAACAAAAACGAAGAAAGAAUAAUUAUGGCCAUAAUUGAUAAAGGUUCAAGGCACACCAAGAAGCCUGAGUCCUAAAACGUAGAUGCAAGGAGCAGGUAUGCAUGAGUGAUACAGAGCCAAAAAAAAAUUCUAUAGAAGUUCAAUAUUAUUCACUUUCAUAACAUAUUUUAGAAAUUCAUACUCAACCUUUAGGGAAAAAAAAUAAAGAAAUUAAUUCUAUCCAAGCAAAUUAAAGAAUUUAAUAGUUGUUACUUAUA